rnacentral:lncRNA from 1 species
UGUCAUUAAUCAUCCUUAGCAUAAAAUUUCACUUCUCUAAUAUUCAGCAUUUCCCUCCCUUUUCUCAUCAACUUGACGUAGCGUGCAUACUUGUGUUUUGGCUGGCAUUCAAAUAUAAGAUGUUCUCCAUCUUGUCUUGUUCCUUUGUAAUGAGCACAUAGAGACAUGUGGUUGUGUGCAGGUCCAAAGGUUAUAUAUAAGUCAUGAAGUCGUUCUCC